rnacentral:rRNA from 1 species
UACGACGGGUGCAAGCGUUACUCGGAAUUACUGGGCGUAAAGCGUGCGUAGGUGGUCUGUUAAGUCUGAUGUGAAAGCCCUGGGCUCAACCUGGGAAUUGCAUUGGAUACUGGCAGGCUAGAGUGCGGUAGAGGAUGGCGGAAUUCCCGGUGUAGCAGUGAAAUGCGUAGAGAUCGGGAGGAACAUCUGUGGCGAAGGCGGCCAUCUGGACCAGCACUGACACUGAGGCACGAAAGCGUGGGGAGCAAACAGG